CCUACGGGUGGCAGCAGUGAGGAAUAUUGGUCAAUGGGCGCGAGCCUGAACCAGCCAAGUCGCGUGAAGGAUGACUGCCCUACGGGUUGUAAACUUCUUUUAUAAAGGAAUAAAGUGAGGCACGUGUGCCUUUUUGUAUGUACUUUAUGAAUAAGGAUCGGCUAACUCCGUGCCAGCAGCCGCGGUAAUACGGAGGAUCCGAGCGUUAUCCGGAUUUAUUGGGUUUAAAGGGUGCGUAGAUGGGUUGUUAAGUCAGUUGUGAAAGGUUGCGGCUCAACCGUAAAAUUGCAUUUGAUACUGGCAGUCUUGAGUACAGUUGAGGUAGGCGGAAUUCGUGGUGUAGCGGUGAAAUGCUUAGAUAUCACGAAGAACUCCGAUUGCGAAGGCAGCUUACUAACCGGGCACUGACACUGAGGCUCGAAAGUGUGGGUAUCAAACAGGAUUAGAUACCCCUGUAGUC
rnacentral:rRNA from 1 species